AAGAAAGUCUAAGUGCCUCCCAAGCUCUCUGGCAUUUCUAUGUGACCGAUCAGCACAUGGGCAGACUGUCAGGCUUCUUGGGCAGAUCAUGGCCAUCCAUUUUAGAUCUACACAGUGUGCCACCAGUCCAGCUGGUCGCUGUGGAACCCAGAAGGAAGAGUAACCCAGACUGUGUGCUGCUGCCCUGAGCUUUUUGAUACAAUCUACAAAGGAUUCACUUCGGGAGAAGAUCCUCAUGAGUCCAAGUGUGAGCUCCACCGCUCAUUAAUAGUUCAACUGAGCAAUGCUUUUGGCUGCCAUAAAGUUGAGUUUUCUUUUCAAGAAAUGGAGGUGUUCACUGAUGCGCUGAGCCUCACCAGAAGCGGCUGCCAACCAAUGCCCUCCUGCUUUCUCACAUCCUCCCGUGCUGAGUCCCACACCUCUCUGACUGCAGCUGUCUGAACAGAAGGCUCCAGAAGGCCAUCCUUCUCCCUGCUUCUAAGUGAGCACCAAGCACGGGGAUAGCCGCGGUGAGUAAUUUCCUUACUGCUUCUACUGUUAACAAAUGCUAGCACCGUGUACUAGAUCAAGCUGGGCUACUGAGAAGGAAACUACCCACGUUUUGUUCUAAAGCAAUCUUCAGAAACCACUCUUCUGCAGAAAACUUUUUUUUUCUUUUUUUUUUUUUUUUACCUGUUUAAGGCACUUGCCUGGCCUGCUCAAAUGGCCGCCUCUUUGUUAAUUAGC
rnacentral:lncRNA from 1 species